GUGGGUGGGUCCUGCGUGUGAAUGAGUGUGUGUGUGUGUGUGUGUGUGAGGGGAUCUUUACACGGGGAGCACUGUGACUCCUUGCAGGACGUUCGCCGGCUCUCCCCUGCACAUGACCAGGCGGCAGGCGCUGCUCUCGCUCUCGUCGCACAGCUGCUUCUCUGAGCACUCGCGCGCUCUCUCUCUCUCUCUCUCUCUCUCUCUCUCUCUCUCUCCUACAACACACAGCCCGCCGGACCAGCUCUCUGCUUUGCAUUCUGAAACAGACAUUGCCGAGUAGUGUGGAAGGGAAGCGGGGAGAAAGAGAAGCGGCAGGACGCCGCUGUGAGAGGCGCAUUCGCAACAAAAAAAGAUGUUUUUCUUCAUCGCUCCAAAAGACAGGAAUCUGCUGGCAACAAGAAUGACUUCCCCAGGAGAGAGAGGAGUACAAAGCCCUCAGUCUGCACACAGCAGAUGCAGAGAGCCGGACCAUCUGCCACCAGCUCGCUGUGCCACAUGGGUCUGCGAGAUUCAAUACAAGGGGGGACUUUUUUUUAUUUUACAUGAUUACACAAGUUUGAUGCAGCUCCAAAAACUGAACACAGUUGCAAACGAACACAGGAACAGUGGUGAUCUGAUCUUAUUUUUUACGCUCUGAAAGAGUUACUGAGGGCAACAAUGACAGAUUUAUUUCAAAAACAGUCUAGCCCCUAACGCGGGGUAAAGACCACUUGAACUCACGGCUCUAAGCGGUGCGCUGGCGUGAUUUAACAGGCUCUGAAUAUCACAUUAUCUCCCCGACUCUGCCGGAGCAUAUUUCAACCGUAUGAUAUCAUUAUUAAGAGGGCGGCGCCGACCAAAAAAGAUGUAGCAGUUUCAUUAGUGUCAAACUGUCUGAGCUCUGAGGCAGAGUAAACACUAAACAAUCACAGCGGAAUGAAAGAGACAGAGCAAGGAAGAUGACAAGGCUGCAAAAGCAAGCAAGAGGAAGGGGCGGAAAAAAGGCAACAGCGUCUCUAAACAUUCACAUUAUGCAAGCAAUUUCUUCCCCUUUCUCUUUCUGUACUAAAAAGCUUCAGGGUAGAAAACUCCUUCAGCCCCCUUUAAUAAACUACUCAGAGUGCCCUACUGGAAAAGGCAAACAAGAGGCCCCUGGCCUUAGGAACAGCGCCUUCACUCAGGGAACGCUAGGCCUAUUUCCACACAUCUGUGACAACCAUGUGCCUCGUACCUUCAGGUAUUUAUUUCUCAUGUCUCUUGUUCCAGAGCGUGCUGCUACCAAGGUCAACAGAGACAAUCAGGCCCACCAGCACAUGGAUGUCACAGCAGAAACAACAAGAUUUUAAUGAAGAAGAAGAAGAAGGAAAAAAAGAGGGUUGGGUUGGGGGGGAGGAGGAGGAUGCAUUGUGGGUACAGUAUGGAGUUCUGAUGGUGGUAGCAGCUGGUUCCCAAUACUGGUUAAAAAAAAAAGAAAUCACCAGUGGGGGAGCUGUGGAUCUGUGAAGCACAGCAUCGCCGUGACGACGACCGCUUCCCAUCUCCGGGAUAAUACGCACAAGCACAUCCACAGCACUAACAAUUAAUUCUGCAGUUAAAGUCAGUGUGUAGCACAUUGCCUUGGUGACAGGAGAGAGAUUUCUACUCUUACCGGAACGUUUGAGUUUAUUUUUGCACUUUUGUUGCCACCGAGCUACCGCAAAGCAUGUGCUAGUACACGCUUUGCGAGCUCGUGGCAACACAUCCUUCCACUGUGAGUAACUCCUCAUUAAGCAGUUAAUAACUAUUAGUGGAAAUAAUCAGAAUACAGACCCCACCCCCCAACAAAAGCAGAAACAUGAACGUAUACCACUGGAAUCAGCAUAAAAAGCAAAGGAUAAGAAAAAGGCAUUAUAGCUUUCAUGUCAGAUAGAUGCGGCACGUAUUGAAGGUUAUCCACUUGACUCCUCUUCACCUUUGUCCAUUCUCACAUUUAAGUGGCAGUCGGAGAAAAUAAAGCGAUUUUGCCGUGUGCUAAAAUACGCUGAACUGCUAUGCGCUGAGAGCCAGUGUUUCCAAAGAACAAAAUGCCACACACAUGAAACAGACUGCACGCAUCAGCACAUUCAUUGCACAAAUGUUCCACAAGCACUUAACCCCCUCUCAAAAAAAAAAAAAAAAAAAGGCAGAAUAAGUAGUAACGAAGGGGUACAGCUCUUUUUAAGCCUGCGCAAUGUUGAUCACACAAUAUGCCGCUUAUGGCCAGAGAGCAAAGACCAUUACGGACAGGUGAUUGUGUAAGUGGUUGGAAGGCAGCACCAUUUUAAUAUACGGUACUUAAGCACCAGGGUAUCCAUGGCAACUUGCCUUGCACCAUGCAUUCAGAAAAGCCCUAAUGAAAUGCCUAUUAAGUGGCUGAUAAUGACAGUGUCCAAA